AUGACUGAAAGUGGACUUCAGACAAGAGAGCAUGCAGACAUAAGUAACGUGAAGGCCGGUGAAAUCCCGGCCCGCCGUAAACCCAAGGUUUCCUGGGCCACGCCAGUCGUCCCAGGGUUAGUCGGGACCUAAGCCGAGGCGGAGACGCGCAGGCGAUGGACAGCGGAUUAAUAUUUCCGCACCACCGAAACUUAAACCGGAAUGACGGGGUAUGGGAGAGGGCCUGCCGGCUGAAAGUGGCGGGGGCGCAAGCUGACGCGGAGACUUUAAGUCGAAGCGGAUCCCUUGAACAGACCUCCAGGAAAAGUUCCGGCGCAUGCCAAGGUGCCCGUACCGCAAACCGACACAGGUGGGUGGGUAGAAUAUACCAAGGCGCAAGAGUGAACCCCCGUUAAGGAACUCGGCAAUCUAGCCCCGUAACUUCGGGAGAAGGGGUGCCCCUGGCAACAGGGGCCGCAGUGAAUGGGCCCAACCGACUGUUUAUCAAAAACACAGCAUUGUGCCAAGGCGCAAGCCGACGUAUACGAUGUGACACGUGACCAAUGCGGAAAGAUUAAGGCAAGAGGUCAGCCGCAAGGCGAAGCUUUGAACCCAAGUCCCCGUGAAUGUCGGCCGUAACAAUAACGGUCCUAAGGUAGCGAAAUUCCUUGUCGGGUAAGUUCCGACCUGCACGAAUCGUGUAACGAGUUGGGCGCUGUCUCAACGGGGCGCUCAGUGAAAUUGCAUUGGCGGUGAAGAUGCCGCCUGCCCGUGGAAGGACGGAAAGACCCUAUGCACCUUAACUGUACUCUGUCACUGUUGUUUCGGCUUCCAUGCUCAGCGUAAGUGGGAGGCUUUGAAGGACACCUUCCGGGGUGUCCCGAGCCGUCAAUGAGACACCACCCCUGGAAGUUGGAACAUCUAACACCGGUCCCGUGAAUCCGGGCGGAGGACCAUGGCAGACGGUCAGUUUUACUGGGGCGGUAUCCUCCCAAAGAGUAACGGAGGAGCGCGAUGGUCGGCUCAGCCUGGUUGGCAAUCAGGUGUUGAGUGCAUUGGCAUAAGCCGGCCUAACUGUGAGACCCACCAGUCGAGCAGAUGCGAAAGCAGGUCAAAGUGAUCCGGCGCUGGAAAGUGGAAUCGGCGUCGCUCAACGGACAAAAGGUACGCUAGGGAUAACAGGCUGAUUUUGCCCAAGAGUUCAUAUCGACGGCAAAGUUUGGCACCUCGAUGUCGGCUCGUCACAUCCUGGGGCUGGAGAAGGUCCCAAGGGUCCGGCUGUUCGCCGGUUAAAGUGGCACGCGAGCUGGGUUCAGAACGUCGCGAGACAGUUCGGUCCUCUAUCCUCCAUGGGCGCAGGAAAAUUGAGGGGUUCCAUCCUUAGUACGAGAGGACCGGGAUGGACGUGCCUCCGGUGUUCCGGUUGUUUCGUCAGAAGCACCGCCGGGCAGCUGCGCACGGAAGGGAUAAGCGCUGAAAGCAUCUAAGCGCCAAGCCCAUCCCAAGAUAAGUUUUCCCUGAAGGAUCGUGGAAGACCACCACGUCGAUAGGGCGGAGGUAUAAGCGCAGCAAUGUGUUCAGCUUACCGCUACUAAUCAUCCGUUCGG
rnacentral:rRNA from 1 species